GAAAGUGUGAUUGGCUGUAACAUCCAUUAGCUUACUUGUGGCUGCUUUGACUAGCUAGGUGGUAUCCCUCCAUUACUACUCCUUAUAAACCUUUCCAAACUCUAUGCACUUGUCAAAUAGGACAAACUUCCUUGGUAGGGGAGUCCUGGCUUUUUUCAAGCGUGUAUGAGUAGUUGUUCUCUCAUGUGAGAACCUCCAAAUAGUCUCUAAGAAUAUGCUUUUUGAGCUACAAGAUCAGUACAUGCACAUGUUCAAAGAAAAAAAAAAGAAAUCCAGGCAUCGGUUUUGU
rfam:Cricetulus griseus cell line CHO-K1, whole genome shotgun sequence.